rnacentral:tRNA from 1 species
AGAUGUAUAGCUCAGGGGUAGAGUGUGUGCUUAACACAGGUGAGGUCCUGGGUUCAAUUCCCAGUACCUCCA